rnacentral:rRNA from 1 species
UGGGGAAUAUUGGACAAUGGGGGCAACCCUGAUCCAGCAAUGCCGCGUGUGUGAAGAAGGCCUUAGGGUUGUAAAGCACUUUCAGUGGGGAGGAAGGGGCAUUUGUUAAUACCAAAUGUCAUUGACGUUACCCACAGAAGAAGCACCGGCUAACUCUGUGCCAGCAGCCGCGGUAAUACAGAGGGUGCGAGCGUUAAUCGGAAUUACUGGGCGUAAAGGGUGUGUAGGUGGUUGUAUAAGUUAGAUGUGAAAUCCCCGGGCUCAACCUGGGAACUGCGUUUAAGACUGUAUAACUAGAGUACUGUAGAGGAUAGUGGAAUUUCCAGUGUAGCGGUGAAAUGCGUAGAUAUUGGAAGGAACACCAGUGGCGAAGGCGACUAUCUGGACAGAUACUGACACUGAGACACGAAAGCGUGGGGAGCAAACAGG